rnacentral:rRNA from 1 species
CCUGGCUCAGGACGAACGCUGGCGGCGCGCCUAACACAUGCAAGUCGAACGAGCGAGAGAGAGCUUGCUUUCUCAAGCGAGUGGCGAACGGGUGAGUAACGCGUGAGGAACCUGCCUCAAAGAGGGGGACAACAGUUGGAAACGACUGCUAAUACCGCAUAAGCCCACGGCUCGGCAUCGAGCAGAGGGAAAAGGAGCAAUCCGCUUUGAGAUGGCCUCGCGUCCGAUUAGCUAGUUGGUGAGGUAAUGGCCCACCAAGGCGACGAUCGGUAGCCGGACUGAGAGGUUGAACGGCCACAUUGGGACUGAGACACGGCCCAGACUCCUACGGGAGGCAGCAGUGGGGAAUAUUGCACAAUGGGGGAAACCCUGAUGCAGCGACGCCGCGUGGAGGAAGAAGGUCUUCGGAUUGUAAACUCCUGUUGUUGAGGAAGAUAAUGACGGUACUCAACAAGGAAGUGACGGCUAACUACGUGCCAGCAGCCGCGGUAAAACGUAGGUCACAAGCGUUGUCCGGAAUUACUGGGUGUAAAGGGAGCGCAGGCGGGAAGACAAGUUGGAAGUGAAAUCCAUGGGCUCAACCCAUGAACUGCUUUCAAAACUGUUUUUCUUGAGUAGUGCAGAGGUAGGCGGAAUUCCCGGUGUAGCGGUGGAAUGCGUAGAUAUCGGGAGGAACACCAGUGGCGAAGGCGGCCUACUGGGCACCAACUGACGCUGAGGCUCGAAAGUGUGGGUAGCAAACAGGAUUAGAUACCCUGGUAGUCCACACUGUAAACGAUGAUUACUAGGUGUUGGAGGAUUGACCCCUUCAGUGCCGCAGUUAACACAAUAAGUAAUCCACCUGGGGAGUACGACCGCAAGGUUGAAACUCAAAGGAAUUGACGGGGGCCCGCACAAGCAGUGGAGUAUGUGGUUUAAUUCGACGCAACGCGAAGAACCUUACCAAGUCUUGACAUCCCUUGACGAUGCUGGAAACAGUAUUUCUCUUCGGAGCAAGGAGACAGGUGGUGCAUGGUUGUCGUCAGCUCGUGUCGUGAGAUGUUGGGUUAAGUCCCGCAACGAGCGCAACCCUUAUGGUCAGUUACUACGCAAGAGGACUCUGGCCAGACUGCUGUUGACAAAACGGAGGAAGGUGGGGAUGACGUCAAAUCAUCAUGCCCUUUAUGACUUGGGCUACACACGUACUACAAUGGCGUUAAACAAAGAGAAGCAAGACCGCGAGGUGGAGCAAAACUCAGAAACAACGUCCCAGUUCGGACUGCAGGCUGCAACUCGCCUGCACGAAGUCGGAAUUGCUAGUAAUCGCAGAUCAGCAUGCUGCGGUGAAUACGUUCCCGGGCCUUGUACACACCGC